AACGAACGCUGGCGGCAUGCCUAACACAUGCAAGUCGAACGAGACCUUCGGGUCUAGUGGCGCACGGGUGCGUAACGCGUGGGAACCUGCCCUUAGGUUCGGAAUAACUCCCCGAAAGGGGUGCUAAUACCGGAUAAUGUCUUCGGACCAAAGAUUUAUCGCCUUGGGAUGGGCCCGCGUUGGAUUAGCUAGUUGGUAGGGUAAAAGCCUACCAAGGCGGCGAUCCAUAGCUGGUCUGAGAGGAUGAUCAGCCACACUGGGACUGAGACACGGCCCAGACUCCUCCGGGAGGCAGCAGUGGGGAAUAUUGGACACUGGGCGAGAGCCUGAUCCAGCCAUGCCGCGUGAGUGAUGAAGGCCUUAGGGUUGUAAAGCUCUUUUACCCGGGAUGAUAAUGACAGUACCGGGAGAAUAGGCUCCGGCUACCUCCGU
rnacentral:rRNA from 1 species